rnacentral:rRNA from 1 species
AACGAACGCUGGCGGCAUGCCUAACACAUGCAAGUCGAACGAUUGCCUUCGGGUGAUAGUGGCGCACGGGUGCGUAACGCGUGGGAAUCUGCCCUUAGGUUCGGAAUAACAGCUGGAAACGGCUGCUAAUACCGGAUGAUAUCGCGAGAUCAAAGAUUUAUCGCCUGAGGAUGAGCCCGCGUUGGAUUAGGUAGUUGGUGGGGUAAAGGCCUACCAAGCCGACGAUCCAUAGCUGGUCUGAGAGGAUGAUCAGCCACACUGGGACUGAGACACGGCCCAGACUCCUACGGGAGGCAGCAGUGGGGAAUAUUGGACAAUGGGCGCAAGCCUGAUCCAGCAAUGCCGCGUGAGUGAUGAAGGCCCUAGGGUUGUAAAGCUCUUUUACCCGGGAAGAUAAUGACUGUACCGGGAGAAUAAGCCCCGGCUAACCCCGU